rnacentral:lncRNA from 1 species
GGCAACUCUGCAGUCGGACCGGCCACCCUCUCCUGCCUGGCUCUGGCCGGACAGGAACCCUGGAAUUCCGAGGGAAUGAAGAGAAACUGAGCCAGAAGGGUUUUAGCUUCUUGCGUUCUGCUUCACAGCUGGAAAUCAAGGGUACCAGGAACCCACCCUCCCCCAGGAUCCCCAUAGGGGAGCCAGAGAAAGGCUCUCCAAGAUAUCCGGGUGUUACCACCGUCAGAAAUGGAGUUUUGGGAUCCCUGGUGGCUCAGCAGUUGAGUGCCUGCCUUCAGCCCAGGGCGUGAUCCUGGAGACUAAGGAUCGAGUCCCACGUCGGGCUCCUGCGUGGAGCCUGCUUCUCCCUCUGCCUGUGUCUCUGCCUCUCUCUCUGUGUAUCUCAUGAAUAAAUAAAUAAAAUCUUAAAAAAAAAAAAAGGAG